CCUACGGGUGGCAGCAGUGAGGAAUAUUGGUCAAUGGCCGGAAGGCUGAACCAGCAAUGCCGCGUGAAGGUCAGUGCCCUAUGGGCGUUAAACUUCUUUUGUGCGGGAGCAAUAAUGGUAACGUGUGGCCAGACGAGAGUACCGUACGAAUAAGCAUCGGCUAACCUCGUGCCAGCAGCCGCGGUAAUACGAGGGAUGCAAGCGUUAUCCGGUUUUAUUGGGUUUAAAGGGAGCGUAGGCUGUGAGGUAAGUCAGAGGUGAAAUGCCCCCGCUCAACGGGGUGAAGUGCCAUUGAUACUGCCUGGCUGGAAUGCGGAUGCCGUGAGAGGAAUGUGUGGUGUAGCGGUGAAAUGCAUAGAUAUCACACAGAACACCGAUUGCGAAGGCAUCUCACGAAUCCGCGAUUGACGCUGAUGCACGAAAGCGUGGGUAGCAAACAGGAUUAGAUACCCUAGUAGUC
rnacentral:rRNA from 1 species